AGAGUUUGAUCCUGGCUCAGGAUGAACGCUAGCUACAGGCUUAACACAUGCAAGUCGAGGGGAAACGACAUCGAAAGCUUGCUUUUGAUGGGCGUCGACCGGCGCACGGGUGAGUAACGCGUAUCCAACCUGCCCACCACUUGGGGAUAGCCUUUCGAAAGAAAGAUUAAUAUCCGAUAGCAUAUAUUUCCCGCAUGGGUUUUAUAUUAAAGAAAUUCGGUAUGAGAUGGGGAUGCGUUCCAUUAGUUUGUUGGCGGGGUAACGGCCCACCAAGACUACGAUGGAUAGGGGUUCUGAGAGGAAGGUCCCCCACAUUGGAACUGAGACACGGUCCAAACUCCUACGGGAGGCAGCA
rnacentral:rRNA from 1 species